UGUAGUAGACGAUAAAUACCAAAUUGAAGUAUUUUAUUAUCAGAAGCAUAACUCAGACAUUAGCAUGUUUUUUUUAGGAAUAACUUUUCUGUGGCGUUAUUAAGCUGCGGGCUUUCUCCAUGCAGCUUCAUGUACAGAUAACCGGUUCAUAUGCUACUUUUACACAUAUGACAUAUGCUACAUUUUCAGAAAAAGUUACUGGAACGGAUCACGCUCAGUCCGAAGCCGCAGUUAGUGGCCGUUCUCAACACUAGCAUCCUAUCUGUUACCGCACUGAUAUACCGAAGACACGUGGAAAUUAAACACGCUAAGCAGGAAUAUUACUGGAAUUAGGAGUGCGGCUUUGGUCAACGAUGUGGAUAUCAACCGUGUUGAUACUGAUAGUCUCGUUGGCAGCAGUCGGUGUAUGUGAUCCUUCCUCUUUCGUCCGUAUUCGGUGCUCGGACUGCGCCCUGCGAGGGUGUACGUGUGAUACAGAAAACGACAUAUGUGCGUGCUCGCGCGAUUCAGUAACCGGGCCUAAAAAAACGGUGGCUCGACGCCUUGAUGGAUGCAGUAAGUCUUCCGAGUUCACCAUGCAGUAAGUUCACCAUGCUGUCGGCAGCAGUUUUUAAAAUCGUUGUCUGCGGAAUGCUUCUUGCUACGUCGCUUCUAAACUAUUGAAUUUUAACGGGUGUCCCCAGAUCUGGCUGCAAUCGACGCGCAGAAUAUUUGUACAGACUCAUGCAUUUUGUUAUCAUUGUAAUUAAUAAAAUAAUAGGUGCCAGCAUUUUGCAUAGGAAAUAUAAUUGUUCUCAUCUGCAGUUGACUGCGGGUUUUGCUCUGGUGUUUGUGACGAAGCCCAAAACAGAUGUACUGUAUCCGCUCGCACAUCUUGAACCACAGAGUCCGUGUACGGGAAAAACACGCAUUCAAUAUACACACUCUAACCGGGCAAAAUGCACGACUACGAAAUAUUCCUCAUUUGGUUUCAAGAUGAACAGUUCUUCUUGUGAAUUUUUGUUUAUUAAAUCAAGUCUUUUCAUUUAAAUGGCAAUUCACUCUGGAAAAAAAGGUUCUGUAGCUGAAAGCUCGCAUUGUUCGGUGGUUCAUCGCCAUCAAGAAUGUUGACGCGGAACGUACCCCUCCCCCUCCAGGGGCACCCCAAAAACCACAACAAAAUCCGUUUGUAACUCGUGCUUACGCCAAAGCUGUAUGUUAAUGGCUGCUUUCGAGCCUAAACAUGAUAAAAAUUGUUAGAGCUCUAAUUUUUUUCAUUAUUCAAGAAGUUCUCCAGUCCAGAUGUUGUAAGACAUCAGAAAUUUAUCAAAUCGCGAAUCGCGCGUUUGGCCCGGUUAGAGUGUGUAUAUUGAAUGCGCGUUUUUCCCGUACACACACUCUGUGGUCCAAGAUGUGCGAGCGAAUACAGUAUAUGUGGGGACGAACUGAUGAGAACUACAGAAGGACCGUUUAGCCGUUUCCGUACCACUAAAAAUAAGCCCCUGUUCUCUUUCGGAUGUACAGAGAAAGAAUGCGCGAAGAAAAUUUGUCCGGAUGGAUCUGGUCAUCAGAGUUGCAUUAAUGGCUUUGGAUGCGGGUGUCCAGUGGCUGCUUGACGGGCGCAAUGAAGAAGCAGAAAACAAAAAGAGUCACACUUAAGAAAAUGGUGAUACUGAUAAUUAAUAAAUUAAAUGGAGUUUUGUAGCGCAACGUGGCAGAGAUACGCACUAUCUGGCACGAAAAUCUGAAUGUUCUCCUCUUUCAUGGACCAUAUUUAAUAAUAAAAUAGCGCACAAAAAUAAUCGCAUUUACAAAACAACCUCUGUUUUCCAUGCAGUUUAGCCUAAU